rnacentral:rRNA from 1 species
UCCCAUCAAGCCAAGUUCCUGGAGGAGAUCAAACAGCUCAUCAUGCUAGAGCACUUUUACAAUGGGCUCCACAAUGACAAGGCAACGACGCAUUCGUAUGUCAUCCAUAUCAACUUUCGAUGCCAUUUACUGCACCUACCAUGGUGACCACGGGUAAUGGGGAAUCAGGGUUCGAUUCCUUAGAGGGAGCCUGAGAAACGGCUACCACAUUCAAGGAAGGCAGCAGGCGCGCAAAUGACCCACUCUCGACGUGGGAAGGUAGUGACGA